UGGGUUCAUACCAGGGAAGAAACCCGUGUGGUUCAGCAGUGGUUGCCUUCGCACGCAGCCCUCAGAUGGAUGGAUCCCUGUUACUAUGGGGGGCUGGAAGGAACACGGAUUAUUAAAACCCCAAACAAAGACUCCCCCAUACCAGACCUCUCCCCUCGCCCCCCAGCCCAACUGGACAAGCAAGGCCUGUUUCUUUGGGCCUGAGGUUGUGCCAUAUAAAGUCUCAUUUUGAGACUCUACAGACUUCGUUUAACUACCUUAUGGAUAGUGGGCUGUGACAGUCUUGAACAGGGAACUUUUACAUAUCUCCCCAUUGAAGGAGCAACCCUGAGUCAAAAAGGGAAUAGAUUCUGCAACCUUGCCCUCAACCUCUUCCUGUUGACGACAAAGCCCAUGGAAUCACAAAAGGAGACACCUUCCCAAGGUUCCGUGUAAAUGCGUUUCUUCUGCUGCUUCUCUUCCGCCUGUUCCGGGGCAAAGACAAUGAUGAGAGAGCUCCCACCUCUGGAAAGAACACAUGAAUGGCGUUCAGACUCAUCCCCAGUGAGAGACACACACACGGCAAGCGUUCAAGGCUCAGCAUCUGUUCUCCAGUGGCCCUGCAGGAAUGCGCUGUCUCACAGCACCAGUUCUGCAGAGCCCCACUCCCGGACUCCUUGUGGUUUUAUUUAUAUGGACUUCCACGAUUGCAUUCCUAUAUGGCCCUGCUGCCCUUGAGGUGGCAGCAAGUGACCAGAGGCUACAGGUUUGACAAUGGACACCAGGUCAGGUGCCACCACACAAAACAAAGCCAGUUCCCAUGAGCUGCCUAUGAUAUGCAUUGCUGAAGUAACAUUUUACCCAGGGUGCGCCAUUGCAGUGAUAUAAAUAUAUUUUUUUCCUAGACUAAUUAUGAGCUGACUAUCUCUUUUGAUGUGUGUACAUAGGUGUGAGUAUGUGUGUGGGUGUGUGGGUGAGCGGGUGAGUACGUUUGCAUACGUGUGUGUGCGCACAUGCGCGCGUGCGCGUCUAACCUCAUGCUUAGAACUGCCUGUGAAUGUUGUGGAAUGCUACACCUGGAAGGGUCUGGUUUUGCCAGUCCCAUGAUGAGAAGUCAUGGGAGAAAGUGGGCCUAGAGAUCGCACCCGUCUCCUUCGAGAGACAGCCCAGAAAUGUUCGAUGUCCUGUAUCUAUCAGUGUAUUUUGUAGCCGCCACGCUAACCUUAAUGAGUCAUUUUUACAGCCUUGGGUAGAGGCACUUUCACCUCAGCAGCGGAGUAAUUUUAGAAUAUAAAUCCAUUCAGGUGAUGCCCCAUCAUCAAAAUCACAAAUUCUGAUUCCACUCCUCAUGCAAAUCAACUGUUUCUUGAUGGAGAGAGAGAGCGCGAGAAAGAAGGGGAUGGAAUUGUCUGGUAACCCCAACGGGAAUACAAGUCGCCUUUGUUUUCCUGCAUCAACGGACUGCUGCGUGCGAGCAAAUAUAUGCAAUUCACUUACUCUUGGCGAUGAACGUUGAUGUGUGUGUCAGCUUUGAGAUGAUGUGUCUUGGAUUAAUACUUUGUCUCCCAGUAUCACAGAAAAUACAGACCAGGGACUCUUGAGGUUGACGUCGUUAGGCUUAAAUGGCCUCCUGCAAUCCCAGGACUCCAGUGUACCCAGAAACUUGUAGAGUCAAUGAUAUGCAGCUAACUCCCAAUGGCCCUCAAGGACGCUUCAUCUUUCUCGAUCUGGAGGUCAGUGUGUGAAGAUACAGUAUUGCUCAGAUAGAGAUACCAAACCCAGCCAACAUACUGCCAUUUUGCAUUAUAAUCUCUGAGUGUUUGCCUUGCUUAUUCUGAACGAUGGUUGCAGAAGCUGCAGCCAUUCCUAUAAGCUAUAGCAUCAAAUCAGGGAAAAAGAAGGAAAGGGAAAAAAACAAAAACAGAGAACCUGAACCGUAUGGUGUUGACUAAGUAGAGAAAAUCACCGAUAAAUAUUUAUUCUAUUCUGACAGGGUGUGUGGCAUUGUAUUCUCGUAACUAUGCCAGAGUGACCAAGUUAAUUCACCCCUUUUGGGGAACCUUAAUAUAUUUUUUAAGGGAUGUGCCUAUGCAUUGAUGCCUGAAAAAUAUGUAUAAAGAAAUGCGGUUGAAUCCCUGAGCAGGUCAUCUUUCCCAGAAGAGUAAGAGGAGGAAGCUAAAUUCAGGGACAAUGUCAAGGCCAGGAGCGAAUGCUGGCCCUGUGAGCUCAGAUGCUAAAUCAUGCCCAAAACUUCUAUCAGACAGCAGGAAGCUGUUCCCCUGCACCAAAUUAAGUACUUUCACCAUUGUCCGCUGGCCCCAAAUUGUUUUUUUAACAAUCUUCUAGAUGAAAUGUUCUGGUGUGUUUUAAGAAAAAGUUAUUAUUAAAAAAAAAAAAAGGCUGUGCUUGCUGCACAGCUGGUGUGUGUGUGUGUGUUGAGACCUCUUGUAUGCAAUCUGUGAAGGAUAUGUGUAUUAAUCCAUACACGUGUAUAGCCUCCAUAUUUGUCUAAAGACACUUAAAAUUGUGACCAGUAAAGGAAAGUUCUAGAAGCAAUAUUUUCACUUAUGUAACAUUCUCCAAACAAUAGCAAGUGUUGAUACACACUGAAGAGUGCAUUUAUUUUUUUGUAUCACACCACAUAUGUUGGAAUAUGCAAGGACUGUGGUUAAAAUGAGAAUGUAUAAGGCAUAUUAUAAUUUUGUGCAUACUGAAACAGAAGUCAACAGAACAUUUGAUUGGGUUCAUCAGUGUUCCAAAAUUUGAGCGAUCUUGAGUUAGCCCUAGAAAUUUUCUAUUUUAAUUUGACAAAGUAUUUGCCCUUCCCUUCAUGAACUUUUAGGUACACGUAACUUAUGUCAUUUAUUUAUGGUCUUUUAUACCUAGUUUGUAAAAUUGUAAAAUAGCAAACUAAAUGCAAAGAGUUUGCAUUUGAAAAUAAUAAAGUAGUUGCCGUAUACAAAC